ACCAUCUGUUAAUUAUCCUUUGAAUUGGGGUUGGGUAAUGAGACUCUCAUUUCUGGUGAAGGCCCAAGCCAACCCGUGGAGAAGCUGCAACUCUCCAUUCAUCUCGCUCCCUUUGUUGCUAAAAUAAGCUUUCUGGGUGGGAGGAAAGAGUAGCCCUGGCUCUGGAUCACGGAAGGUGGUUCUGGGGCCUUGCACCUUGAGGCAGGGGUUGCCAGGGAAGGCAUGAGCUCAGAAGCCCCUUCCAGGUGGGUGGCCUUUCCACCCAAAGGCAGAUAGGUUGGGGGAUCCAAGGAACCCUUUCCUUCAUCCCCAAGCACAUUUGGCAAAUAGUCCUUAAUCCUCCCCAGUCCUCCCUCCGGGGGCACAGGACAGAGCUCUCUCCCCAUCACUUCCUCAGAUACUUCCAACUCCCAAAAGCAGGAGGGAAAUUUCCAAGUUUCAUAUGCAUCACUGAGAGUCUCAAAUGAGGGAGGGGUUGCCCUGGUGGAGGCCUCCCUGAUCCCCAGGGAAGGGCUGCCUGCUUCAUGGAGCUUUCCAGUUGUAAGGAACCUAUGGACCUCCCUCCUGUGUGUAAGGGACAUUUAGGCCUCCCUUCUGCAUAGCUUUUAGGUGCUAUCAAGGGGCAGCAAGGGCUUGGGGUCUGUUAAAAGAGAAUUUAUUGUUCUUCUAGUCCAAACCUCCCACUUCACAGUGGAGGCUCUGGGAAGGAAGGAAACCUGCUUGGCUAGCCUUGCGGCUGUCCUUUAGCUCUGGUGGGAUUUCCUUACUCAGGUUGCUUCCUGAGGACCCCCUGGAUAAGGCAUGGCCCUGGCUUUCAACACAACAGGGUCGCAUGGGUGAAGUGCUCCAGAAGCAACUGAGAGAAAAGGCUAAAGGAAUUCAGAGGACAGAGCAGUGAGGGUGGAGGAAAUCCCAGAGGGCCUCUAGAGGAGACGGGACUUGGGCUGCAUCUUCAAGAAUCAGGAACAGCAUUCCUGGAAGAGGAAUUCAUCAGUUAAGUCACUUAAUCUACACAUUAAGUGUCUUCUCCAUGAUUAUACAGCUAGUAAUGGAAGAGCUAGGAUUUGGACCCCGGCAAUCUGACCCCAGAGCCCACUCUCUUAAGCAGUACACUAUGAAUGAAUGAAAGGAAUGAAUGAAAUGCAAGCAUCAGCUUGGCUGGAGCUGAAGAUUGGGGUGGCUCUGCUGUGGCCUAGCACGCUGGUGAGGAAGAACAAG
rnacentral:lncRNA from 10 species